GUUCCAGGCAUGCCUCAGUACGGCGAGUGAGCGGCAAAAGCUCAAAUUUUAAAGCUGGCAUCUUCGGUGUCCGCGUUGUAAUUUUGUGAGGCAUCUCCGGGUAGGGCGCCGGCCUAAGUUCCUUGGAACAGGACGUCACAGAGGGUGAGAAUCCCGUGCUUGGCUGGCUGUCCCCGUCCAUGUGAGGUGUCUUCGACGAGUCGAGUUGUUUGGGAAUGCAGCUCAAAAUGGGUGGUAAAUUUCAUCUAAAGCUAAAUAUUGGUGGGAGACCGAUAGCGCACAAGUAGAGUGAUCGAAAGAUGAAAAGCACUUUGAAAAUAGAGUUAAAAAGUACGUGAAAUUGUUGAAAGGGAAGCGCUUGAGACCAGACUUCGGUAGGGGGUGAUCAGCCGUGCUUCGGUGCGGUGCACUUGUUCCUCUCUGGGCCAGCAUCGGUUGAGGCGGCGGGAUAAAGGUCCCGGGAAUGUGGCUCCUUCACGGGAGUGUUAUAGCCCGGGUGAAUGCCGCCAGCUUCGACCGAGGACCGCGCCCGCAAGGGUUAGGAUGCUUGGCAUAAUGGUCUUCAGCGACCCGUCUUGAACCACGGGACCA
rnacentral:rRNA from 1 species